rnacentral:rRNA from 1 species
CUUAGGCGUGUGACUGCGUACCUUUUGUAUAAUGGGUCAGCGACUUAUAUUCUGUAGCAAGGUUAACCGAAUAGGGGAGCCGAAGGGAAACCGAGUCUUAACUGGGCGUUAAGUUGCAGGGUAUAGACCCGAAACCCGGUGAUCUAGCCAUGGGCAGGUUGAAGGUUGGGUAACACUAACUGGAGGACCGAACCGACUAAUGUUGAAAAAUUAGCGGAUGACUUGUGGCUGGGGGUGAAAGGCCAAUCAAACCGGGAGAUAGCUGGUUCUCCCCGAAAGCUAUUUAGGUAGCGCCUCGUGAAUUCAUCUCCGGGGGUAGAGCACUGUUUCGGCAAGGGGGUCAUCCCGACUUACCAACCCGAUGCAAACUGCGAAUACCGGAGAAUGUUAUCACGGGAGACACACGGCGGGUGCUAACGUCCGUCGUGAAGAGGGAAACAACCCAGACCGCCAGCUAAGGUCCCAAAGUCAUGGUUAAGUGGGAAACGAUGUGGGAAGGCCCAGACAGCCAGGAUGUUGGCUUAGAAGCAGCCAUCAUUUAAAGAAAGCGUAAUAGCUCACUGGUCGAGUCGGCCUGCGCGGAAGAUGUAACGGGGCUAAACCAUGCACCGAAGCUGCGGCAGCGACGCUGAUGCGUUGUUGGGUAGGGGAGCGUUCUGUAAGCCUGCGAAGGUGUGCUGUGAGGCAUGCUGGAGGUAUCAGAAGUGCGAAUGCUGACAUAAGUAACGAUAAAGCGGGUGAAAAGCCCGCUCGCCGGAAGACCAAGGGUUCCUGUCCAACGUUAAUCGGGGCAGGGUGAGUCGACCCCUAAGGCGAGGCCGA